UUAUGGCCAUAUCAUGUUGAAACAUGGGUUCCCAUAUGAUGACCAAACUUAAGGAAUGUCAAGCCUGGUCAGUACUUAGAUGGGUGACCGCUUGGGAAUACCAGGUACUGUAAG